GUAUUGUAUGAAAGGAGAGAAGGUUAGCACUCCCCUUGACAAGGAUGGAAGAGGCCCUCAGGCCUGACAACACGCAUACAGUUAAGACACUGUCACCUACUUCGUGGCAUCUAACCACUGUUUUUU
rnacentral:ncRNA from 1 species